GAUGAACGCUGGCGGCGUGCCUAAUACAUGCAAGUCGAGCGAACAGACGAGGAGCUUGCUCCUCUGACGUUAGCGGCGGACGGGUGAGUAACACGUGGAUAACCUACCUAUAAGACUGGGAUAACUUCGGGAAACCGGAGCUAAUACCGGAUAAUAUAUUGAACCGCAUGGUUCAAUAGUGAAAGACGGUUUUGCUGUCACUUAUAGAUGGAUCCGCGCCGCAUUAGCUAGUUGGUAAGGUAACGGCUUACCAAGGCAACGAUGCGUAGCCGACCUGAGAGGGUGAUCGGCCACACUGGAACUGAGACACUGUCCAGACUCCUACGGGAGGCAGCAGUAGGGAAUCUUCCGCAAUGGGCGAAAGCCUGACGGAGCAACGCCGCGUGAGUGAUGAAGGUCUUCGGAUCGUAAAACUCUGUUAUUAGGGAAGAACAAAUGUGUAAGUAACUAUGCACGUCUUGACGGUACCUAAUCAGAAAGCCACGGCUAACUACGUG
rnacentral:rRNA from 1 species